rnacentral:lncRNA from 1 species
UUUUUGCUUCCUCUUCUAUGUUGCCUCUUUGUUUUUGGUGAAACUCCUCAUUGAUGGAUGUCCUGUUUUGGGUCAGUUAUGCCUCUAUUCUCAUGAAUAUACAAAUUUCUCUUAUAGCACAUGAUAUGUAUCUUAACCAAGGUAAAUUUAUUCUUCUUCUUUAACUGUUAUGAAUCUUGCUUCCAUCACCAACUCUGGUUGUAUGUGUAGGCAGGUGGGUUAUGUAGAUUGUGAAGGUUGUUUGAUGAGGAGAAAGCCAACCGAAGCUGCUUCCAGAGGUAUUCUUUUUCCUACUCUUCUAAUUUACUCACAAAACAUCAACAGCUUACUCAAAAAAUCACUUGUUUGAUAGGUUUGUUGUUGUAUCAACAUCUAGGCUUAUUGCUGACUUUCUUUAAUCAUUUGCUCAAGAUGAUGUCGUUCCCCUUUGCUUUUGGUGAUGUAUUUUGUGCUAACUUUAAUUAGCUAUCUGAUUAGCAGUUCUAGAUCCUGGAUUUAGGAACACCUAAUGUAAAUAUUGUAGCUGCUUAGAAUUUGCACCUUUAGGUGCUCUAUCACUGUUUCCCAAACUCUGCAUGUGGCUUUAUGUACUUAGUGCUUAUCUGUAAUGAUAGUAUUUUCGCCUUUUCUGUGUUGAUAAUUUUUCUCCCUUUGUUUGGUAACUAUUGGAAUGAAUGAAAACUCAACUUACUGAUUGUGUCAACAGCUAAAUUAGCUAUAUAAUCUGCAAGAUCAUUCCUUUCUCUGUAUAUGUGACUAACUUGUAGCUCAACUUGUUCCUUGUUUCUCCUUAUAUCAUCCAGAAGCUCAACCACCUCCCAUGGAACUUUCCAUACUCUUUUAAUCACUUGGAUUAUCAAUAAAGAAUCUGAGUCAACCUUCACUUUUGUAAAGUUAUUCUCCCUGCAGUACUUAAUUGCUUCUUGUAUUGCCCUCAUUUCAGCAAUAACAUUAGCUGUAAUACCAAUGUUAUUUUCUUGGGCAUAUAACAAAUCUCCUUCUGCAUUCCUCAGACAAAAAUCAUAAGCUCCAGGACCUGGGUUCCCUCUACAAGCUCCAUCAGUAUUGCACUUGAUGACUCCAUUUUCUGAUGGUUCUCAUUUCACCAAGUGAUAGAAAUUCCUUGGUCUAUACUUUGUGAAAAAAUUGAUCAUAUCUUCCCAUUUUAUAAUUGUCAUGCCUGACCACUCAUAUCUCUUCUUCAGCAUAUAAGUAACACUUCGUUCAAUUUGGGAAACCAUCCCUGCAAAGGUUGUAUUACCUCUAUACUUAAUAGUAUUUCUCCUCUUUCAUAAUGCCCAAAUGACUAAUGCAGGAAUCACCUUUCAUACUUGUUGCUUUUUCCUUGGUCCUUGAUAAUUUCACCAUAUCUUCAAUUGAUGAGCCAGUUGUCUCCUUUCAUCCUUAAUACCUGCAAAAUUAGCAAAGAACCUCCUUAGCUUUAAGGCUAUUGAGGAUGUUAGAAAAAGGUGUUCCAUUAUUUCCUGCUUUCUUUUCUCAUAUCACCAGCAUCUAGACACUAAGUUCACCUUCAUCUCUACAGAUUGUCAUCUGUAGGAACUCUUGCCUUCCAAACUUUCCAUAAGAAAAAAAUCAUUUUGAAAGGUAGCUCCUUGUUCCAGAUUUGCAUAUGUUCUUCCCUUUUUUUAUUUUUGGCUCUUAAUAAUUCCCAUGCAGUUUGUACACUAAAGUUACCAUGAUGAGUUCCCAUCCACCAAGAUCUAUCCCUUGUAUCAUUCUGCAAAGAAGGAAUGACAUUUCUUACUAUAUAAUCCACUAUUUCUUCAGACAAGACAAGUACAGGAUGAGCAUUAACUUUUUCCAUCUCCCUUGCCUUAUGAACUGCUUUACAUCUAUUUCCACUUCUCCUUGAUCAUGAUCCUCAAUAUAAUACAAAGCUCCUUUUUUUGUCCAGUUAUCAAACAAGAAACUAGCCUCUCCUAAUUUAAUUUGGCACCAUAUGUUAUGCUCCACUUUUUCUCUUACUUGAAUAAGUUUUUUCCAAAUUGAUGAUGCACCUAGACCUUGUGCUAUCACUGGAUGUUUCUUUUUACAGUACUUGUUCCAUAUAAAUUUGCUCCAUAUUGAUCCAGAAGAGGUCCUAAAAUUCCACCAAAGCUUUGCAAAUAAAGCAUCAACUACUGAAUAAAGUGACCUUAAGCCUACUCCUCCCUCAUUCAUAGGUCUGCACAGUUGAUCCCAUGUUAUCCAGUGUUUACCUUUUAAUCCCCCUGGUUUUCUCUAAAAUAACUUAGCCAUUAACUUAUGAAUUUGAUCAAAAACCCAUUUUAGAGGAUUCAUAACUGACAUCAAAUAGAUAGGUAAAGAUUGUAGAACAUUUCUGAUUAAAAUUUAUCUCCCACCAUAUGUUAAAAGCCCGUUGUGCCAUGAUAAGAUCCUCCUCUUCACUUUUUGAAUCAAUUACUAAAAAUGGAUUUUCUUCUUUCUUCUAUAGUAGAUUGGACAUCCCAUGUAGGUAAAUGGAAAGGUACCUAUAGCAAUACCUAUAAUUCUCCUUAUUUUGCUCUUAGUAGAUAGCAGUACUUUCUUAUGUAUAUAUAAAAAACUUUUUGAGAGAUUAAUAAGUUGACCGGAAACAUUCUCAUAAUUAACCAAUACUUUCAUCAUCUUUCUUAUCGAUCCUUUAUGUCCUUAGAAAAACAAGAUAGUAUCAUCUAGAUGGUUGAUCUUUUCACUCUACUUAGGCAUGCCAAAUCUAAUGAAAGUUUGGUCUUCAUGUAGUUUGUUAAGAUUUCUUAUUGACACCUCAGCAUUAAUAAUAAAAAGGGAAGGGGAUAAAGGAUCUCCUUGUUUGAGACCCCUAGUGGAUUAAAAGAAACCAUAUGAUUUGUCAUUAACCAAUACAGAAUACUAGUUAUUAGACAUUAAUCUCCAAAUCAUAUCUAUGAUUCUUUCUAUGAAAUCAAACUUCCCUAACACCUUAGUCAUAUAAAUCUAUGUAACUCUAUCAUAAGCCUUAGUUAUAUCCAGCUUGACUAUAAUAUUAUGAUAUUUAUCCCUCCUUUUUAUAUCCCUGACUAUUUCCUGAGUCAAUAAUACAUUCUCAGCAAUACUUCUCCCUUUCAUGAACCCAGUUGAUUAUGUGAAAUAAUCAUUGGUAAUAGUUCCACCAAUCUUCCAUGAAUUACUUUUGAUAUGACCUUACUAAUAUAUGUGCUUAAGCUUAUUGGCCUCAAAUCAGCAAACCUCUUGACCACUUCUUUUUUAGGUAUAAACACUGGAUUAGUAUGAGUUACAUACCUAGGUAGUUCAUAUCUACAAAAAAUGCUAUAACCAAGUUGAUCACAUCUUCCUUGAUGACAUCCCAGCAGCUCUGAAAAAACCUUCCUGAGAACCCAUUCGAACCAUAAGCAUUAUCACUGUUAAGUGAGAAUACUUCUUAUUUGAUUUCCUUAUCUGAUGGUAUUCUAUCCAUCUCCUCUUUCUGGUCAGCUAAAAUGAUACUUGGAAUAUAAUCAAGCAAUUUAUAAUCCUCAUUCUUUUUAUACUCCAUAAAUUGUUUUUUAAAAUAAUUAACUACUUUUUCCAUAAUACUGUCUAGUUCCUAUAAAAUUGCUCUUUGUUCAUUUUCUAUAUUUUGAACAAAGAGUCUCUUCCUUCUGCCCAUAACAUAAUUGUGAAAAAAGUUAGUGCUUCUUUCUCCAUCCUUGAACCAUGUCAUUCCAGACUUUUGUUUCCAAAAUUCUUCCUCGAGUUGAUAAUGCUUCCUUAGUUCUUCUUCUGCUUUCCUCAGUUCCAUUCUAUUUUCCUCAAAAUAGUUUAUUUCUAGCUGUAAUUCUUUCACUCUUAGAAUGUCUUCCAGAGUUGACACUUUGUGAAAUAUAUUACCAAAAGUAUCUCUACUCCAUUUUAUAAGAACCUUCCUUAAAUUCUUUAGCUUUUCAUUAAAAAUAUGAAAAGGACUGCUACUCCAUUUUGCAAGAACCUUCCAUAAAUUCUUCAACUUUUCAUUAAAAAUUGAAAAGGACUAAUUUGGACUAAAAUACUCCAAUUUGUUUUGACCACCUCUUUAAAACUGUUGUGUUGUGCCCAAAAGUUUAAAAACCUAAAAAGUUUCAAUACCCUUUUUUAAUUCCCAUUACACUUUAAUAAAAGUGGACUAUAAUAUGAUCUAUCUCUUAUCAAAUGCUCAACCUCUGAAUUAGGUCUUUCCUGCAUAAACUAUGGAUUACACAAAAUUUUGUCCAGCCUGUAGAAAAUGCACUACUCCUCUGUUCUCCCAUUCCACCAAGUGUAUUAACUUCCUUUGUAAACUAAUUCUUAAAGUGCACAAUUAUUCACGCAUUGUGCAAAAUCUAUUAUUUCAUCAAAAGUAACAUCAAGACCUCUAAGUUUCUCUUCCUCAUUUAGAAUGACAUUCAAAUCUCCCCCAACUAUCCACGCUUAUGAAUGUCUUUGCUUAUCUCUUCCAGCUCCUCCUACAAUUCUAACCUCUUCAAAACACUACAUCUAAUAUAGACUAAGGUUAUCCAAGGCUCUUUCCUGUUAGCAGAAAGUACAAAGUGGAUAGUUAUUUGCUAUUGAGUGUUAUACUCUACUUUCCCUUCCCAAUCAUCAUUCUAAAAGAUCCAAAUCUUUGAAGAACAAUUCAUUAUUGCAUUCUGCAUCCCUAACUUACUUUUAUAUACAUCUAAUUCUUGUGGCCCCUGGAAAGGUUCCAAAAGAGCUAUAAAAAAAUCUUAUAUCUUUUUUAAGAUCAAUUACUCUAUUAAAGGAAUUUUGAGUAUUGACUAAUCUUAUAUUCCAAAAAAAUAGGUGUUCAAUCAUUAUUUAGAAGUAGUAGGUUUAACUGAGCUACUCAUUGUACUUCUAAUCUUGGACACUUUGUUGUUUAUCCUUCCUACUCUUAAUUCUCUAUAUGUCUAGGAGAUAAACUCUUUUUAGAACCAACCUCUGAGAUAUUCUCUUGCAUGUCUUCUUCUUCUUCUUCUUCUUCUUCAUUCUUUUCUUCCUCCUUAUUUAUUAGCUUGUGUCAUAUCUUUUAUGUAUCUAUGUUCCCCUGCUUUAUUUGUUGGACCAUGGCCUCCAGUUGAAGUUUUUUCACCCUCCACCUUCAAAGUUAGUUUUAGUUGAUCAUUUGGUGGCUCUUUGUAUUUAUCACCACUCUCUUUUGUAUUCUAAUUUUGUCACUCCUAUUGUAAGUUAGCUACCUCUAUUAUAUCCAUCAUUCUUCUCAUUCAAAGAUGUUACUUGUUUCUCCUCUUCAAUUCUGUUAUUGUGGUUUCUUUGCUUUCCAUCUUCUUGUACUAAACUAUUCUUUUGCUACCUUUGUUCUGAUGAUUAUAAUCUUUACCUUUUGCAACCUCAAAUAUCUCUUUCACCCAUUUUAUUUUAGACCUUUUCUCCUACUUCUUUGUUGCUCCCUUGGUUGAUAAAUGAGUGGUGCUUUUCAUUUGUUGAGAAUCCUGUCUUUGAUUGUCUUUGUCCCUUCCUUACUUGUCAGAAGCUUCAUUAAUGAGAACAUCAAACUUGUUGCUGUAAUUAGUACUUCCUCAUUCACCACUUUGUCUCUUUGAUUCCACCUCUGUACCAUACCUCCUUUAUGAUGAAAUCCACCUCUUUUACCACCAUUCCAUCUUCUUUGUUCUUGAAAAUUGCUAGCAUUAUUUUUUCCUUUACCUUUAUCUUUAUCUCACUCUUUCAGCUCUUUUUUUUCCUUUUUUUACCUUUUUAUGUCAUGAGUCUUAUUAACCUCCUCGUUGUCUUCACUCUCUUCUUCUUUGGUAUAUAACUCUGGAUGCAAAACAAAACAUUCCUUCUCAUUAUGCCCUUGCAGUUUGUAGUUUUUACAAUAUUUUGGAAGAUAGUCAUACUUUCUCUUGAUCCACUUUGCUACUAUCUCCCCUGACUUCUUCUUAAUUCCAACAUUAACAUGCUUUGGUAAUUCAAUUAAAAGAUCUACUUCCACUUUCGCCCUUGCACAACUACAUCUUUUUUUAUUAUUGGUAGCCAUAUCCACUUGUAAAGGCUUGACCACUGCUGCUGCCAAACAAAAAAUGGUUUCUUUGCCAAAGAAGUUUGGUGGUAAAGCCGGUAAUGAUAUCCAUGCAAUAGUUAUUGAUGUCUCUUCUUUUGGAUCAAACAAAGGAUCCCACUUCAAUAUUCUCAUGAGAUAAUUCUAAUUUUUGUGCGCAAUAUAAAACAUAGGUUUCGAUUAUAGAUUGACAUAAUCUUCCAUCCUUGACGCUCUUAUUAGAAUAUAUCUAUUACAUAGUAAACCUAUAUUGACAUCCCCCUUUAGUUCCAUUGUUUUUGGAUGAGUUUCCUCAAUUCCUGAAUGUCAGGUCAUCCAUACGAGAACUUUCCCACAAUGGAAUACUCUAGAUCUUCAUUAAUAAUCAUUUGGGACACUUCCUCCUCUUCCCACACCACUCUCGGUUCUCCAUGCAAGUACGUCAAUGUUUGAUGGGAAUGUCAGCUCUUUUUGCUGCUUCUGGUUAUAAUGUGGCUGCAUAAUUCCUUCCAGUUGUGAGAACUGCAACUAAAGAUUCAUUAGGGUAUUGGCCAAUCCCCGGUGAAGAAUGGUCGAUGGCCAUCGGACGGUGGUACCAAACCUAGGGUUUUUUUACGUUGGAGUUUUAAGGGUAGAGAGCUUUUUCCAACAACAUUAAUUUCGCCCAUUUAUUAGUUCAACCCAUGUCAAUUAAUAUGUUUCAACGCGGUAAAAUUUGGGUUGAUAUGCAACCCGAAUUAAUUUUUGAGAAAUCUAGUUAAAAUAUUUUAAGAGGAUUUUUUAAAAUUUGAUAUGAUAUAAUCAUAAUAAAAAAUAAUUUUCAUUCGACACUAAAAGUUUAUAAAAGAAGAAAUAAAUCAAUUAAAACAUAGUAAGAAUUGAGCGGGUUGGGUUAUAUAACCCAUCAUAAUUUGUUGCCUAACUCGUUUUGACCCAAAUAUUGGAUCUACCCAUCCAAAUUUGCUCCAACCCGCCUAAUUGUCACCCAUAAUCAGACACAUAUUUAAUUUGAAUAAAUAUGAACAAAUUUUAACUUUUAAUUUUAGUCUUGAAUAUUACAAUGAAAAUGAUAUUUGAGGGUAAUAUUAUCACUUUAGUAACUUCAUCCAAGGAUAACUAAUCUUAAAAUAAAUUAUCUGAUAUAUCUGAUAUAAGUAAUUUCAAAAUUAGCUAAUUUGUUUUCACUUCACACGGUUGCAAGAAAAUUAAAUAUGUCUAAAUAAUAAUUAUUAUAAAUAAAUUUCAAACACACACAUAUAUAAAUACUAGAGGAAAAUGACCCAUGUUAGCAUAACCCAAUAUCGUAAAAAUUAAAAUUAAUGAUAUUAUAUUUUUAUCAAAAUAAUAAUUUAAAUAAAUAUAAAUAAAGUAUGCACAAUUUAUAUAUAUAUAGAUAGAUAGAUAGAUAGAUAGAUAGAUAGAUAGAUAGAUAGAUAGAUAGAUAGAUAGAUAGAAUUUAAGAUAGAUAGAUAGAUAGAUAGAUAGAUAGAUUCUAUUGAUGUUCUAAAUAAAUUCUUAAUUAUCUGGAAAUAUAGUAAGCAUCGAGAAAAGGUGUUUUUUAGUUUUAUACUUCUAGGAAUGUUAUGAAUCGAAUUAACUUUACCAGAUUAGUUAUUAAGUUUCUUCAAUUAAAAUCAUAAGUUUGGUAUGUUUUUUCUUUUUACUAAAUAACUUUAUUAAGUAUAUUUUAAAAUUAUAAUUUAACAAGUAGAAAAUAAAAUUUUAUUUUUAAUAUACAAUCAGAAUAAAGAAUAAAGCUUAUUUAAUUUUAUUUAGUAGAUUAAUUAUAAUUUACUAUCAUGAAUUAUUAUCUCAUUAGUAUACUUAAAUAUAUUAGAUUUAAAUAAUUUUAUAUGGAUCUUAAAAAAAUAAUACAUCAAUAAUAUUUGGGAAAUAAAAAUGAAAAUAGAUGAAAGAUUAUAUGGAAAAUAAAUUAAAUUUUAUUAAUUAUAUUUUAAAAUUUAAAUUUAAUUUAGAUAGAUAGAUAGAUAGAUAGAUAGAUAGAUAGAUAGAUAGAUAGAUAGAUAGAUAGAUUCUAUUGAUGUUCUAAAUAAAUUCUUAAUUAUCUGGAAAUAUAGUAAGCAUCGAGAAAAGGUGUUUUUUAGUUUUAUACUUCUAGGAAUGUUAUGAAUCGAAUUAACUUUACCAGAUUAGUUAUUAAGUUUCUUCAAUUAAAAUCAUAAGUUUGGUAUGUUUUUUCUUUUUACUAAAUAACUUUAUUAAGUAUAUUUUAAAAUUAUAAUUUAACAAGUAGAAAAUAAAAUUUUAUUUUUAAUAUACAAUCAGAAUAAAGAAUAAAGCUUAUUUAAUUUUAUUUAGUAGAUUAAUUAUAAUUUACUAUCAUGAAUUAUUAUCUCAUUAGUAUACUUAAAUAUAUUAGAUUUAAAUAAUUUUAUAUGGAUCUUAAAAAAAUAAUACAUCAAUAAUAUUUGGGAAAUAAAAAUGAAAAUAGAUGAAAGAUUAUAUGGAAAAUAAAUUAAAUUUUAUUAAUUAUAUUUUAAAAUUUAAAUUUAAUUAUUAGUAUUUCAUACAUUUAAUGAUAAAAAUAAAAUUUAUCAAACAAAAAUGAGAAUUUUUCUUAAUUUACCAAAAAAACAAAUAAAAACAAAAUUUCAUUUUAAAUAUAAAAUUUUAAUAAAGAAUAAAAUUUAUUUACUUUUAUUAAGUAUGAAAAUAGAUGGAAGAUUAUAUGGAAAAUAAAAAUAUGGAAGAGAUGAAAAGGUCAACAUAUAGACAAGGGGCAUGUUGUAUACCAUUUAUGGCAAAUCACGAAACUCAAUGAGUCCCACCAUUGACAUGACCCAAACCCCGGGCCUUGUCAUAUGGGCACCCUAAGCCCACAUGAACUGGAGGUCGCCCCCAAUAGCCUAACCCAAACUUCUCAUCAUAUAAUAUGAGUCAAAGGAAUUCCAACUCACAAGUUAAGAUUGCAGAAAUAAUAUCAUAAGUCAACAUUAGAUUCAUAAUAAAUAACUCGCACCCAAGUUAACAAUUGUUCACAAUACCUCUAUACAAAAUGAAGUCAAUAGAUGUAUAUGUAGGGACAAGCCCCUGACGAUAGCCAAACCAAGUCUUAAUGAGUCAAAGUCUAAUCAUAACAGACCAAGAGAUGAAGAUCUUCCGGGGUAAGGAAGCUCACCCCUUCAAGUCAGUGCAUGAACCGCUUCGAUCUACUAAUCACUACGCAGAAAGAGAAAAAGAUGCUCCAACCCCUAUGUCAUGUGGGGACAUAGCGUCCGGAGAUUGUUAGCGGUUGAAACGCUAGCAUGUAGCCCAAGUAUAAGUGAUAAAAUAUCAUCAUCAAUCAAUAUCAAGUCAAUAUAUCACAUUUUAUUUAAUUCACACACUAAUCCAUACAUAUAGAUAUCUCACAUGCUAAUCAAAAUAUCAAGGCUCAUCAUCAUUCUCAAGUAUUCAUUCAUUAGACGUGAAGUGGAGGACUAAAACCUUUUUCACUUAUAGUUUCAUAUUCUCAAUAGGCAAAGGACUCUAGCCACAUUUACCUUAUUAUUAGACUGGGACUUUAACUAUACGCACUCAUUCAUUAGUCAAGGACUUUAACCGCUUACAUAUUCAUUCAAACAAAGGACUCUAACCACACCUACAAUCAUCUAGGCAAGGAAUCCAGACUCAUGCCCAUUUAUUAGAUAAGGGACUCUAACCUCAUGUAUCACUUGGACGUUAACCACAAGUCAUUUCCUUCUACGAGGUACUUUGACCUCAAGAGAUCUUUUUAAGCACAUGACUUUAACCUCGAGCAAUAUCAUUAGAAAGGGACUUUAACCUCAAACCCUUUAUAAGGAAAGUGACUUUAACCUCAAGACAUCACAUAAGGCAAAGGACUUUGACCUCAAAAUAUCACAACUAUCAUUAGUUGGCAUUUAGGACUUUGACCCUUUGCCCAUGCAUCAACACAUAGUCAAUACAAUAUUUAAGGACUUUAACCACUUCUGCUAAUUCAACACUAUACAUGACCACAUGCUCUUUGUGGGAGCCUUCAUUGACCAACCAUAUCAAUAGGCCAAUGCCUUCACUUAAUUCAACAUACAAAGCAAAUUAUGGUCAUCAAGACCCAUACAAGAAUUCUAUGCCACAUUCUCACCAUACUAGGGUUCAACCCAUAAUUUAAGUUCAUCUUUAUAUCUAGGGACUUUAUCCUUUUUUAGACAACAGCCAAGGUUAUCAAUUUCAUAACACAUGGUUCAUAAUUCCUUUAACACAUUAUUUAUCAUUCAUCCAUGUUCAUUCAGGCCAUUGCCCUAGUUCAAUACGUCAACAAUAUAUAACUAAAUAACUUACUAAGAUGUUUUCACAAAUGCCUUGGGUGCAUACCUUCAACAAGGCCAUUUCCAUGGUAUAUAUUAUCAAGAUUAGGGUUAAUUAAGACCCUCAUAUUAAACCACAUAUAACAAGAACCUACACAUGCAAUUUAUCAUCAAUAUCACAUAUAAACAUAAGUCUAAGCAAGAUUCAGUCUCAUACAUCAUUAGGCAACAAAAUUCUUUUCAUUUGAUUUCAAAACCACCAUGUACACCUACUAAUCCAAGUGUUAAAUACACAGGAUUAAAGAUAUUUAAAGAGAGGAAGAGAUACAUUCCUUAAACAAGAUGACACAUCAAUGAUCUUGGCUCCUUCUUUUCACUAGAACCUUUACCAAAGUCACUUCUUGCAUUUGUAAUCGGCAAACUUUCCGAUCCAAAAUCCUCACCAGGAUCUCUUCUUAGGACAAAGUGUCCGAAAUACCAACAUCUUCUAAAAGGACAACCAAGGAAGGAUCACCACACAUUUCCGCAAUAUAGAGACAUGGAAAACUGGGUGAAUAGAGUCCAUACUAUAAGGAAACUCCAACUCAUAGAAAAUAUUGCAUACCCUCUUCACAAUCAAAUAGGGACUGAUAUAUCGGGGACUAAACUUUCCCUUUUUGCCAAAUCGUAUCACUCCCUUCACGGGAGAUACUUUACAAAAUACUCAAUUGCCCAUAUUAAACUCUAAGUAUCUACGCCUCAUAUCCACAUAGGAAUUUGAUGACUUUAGGUGGUUUUCAACCUAUCACGAAUCACCUUCACCUUAUCUAAGGCUUGGUGAACUAAAUCUAGGCCAAGCAACUUACCCUCACCAACUUUGUACCACCAAAUAGGAGAUCGACAUCUCCUAUCAUACAGUGAUUUAAAGGGCGCCAUGCCAAUACUAAAGUGUUAACUAUUAUUAUAGGCGAACUCAAUCAAAGGUAAGUGGUCAUACCAACUUCCACUAUAAUCAAUCAUACAAGCCCGUAACAUAUCUUUCAAUGUUUGGAUAGUCCUCUCCACUUAUCCAUCUGUUUGUGGGUGGAAUACGGUACUAAGGCACACCUUAGUUCCCAAACCUCUUUGGAACAACUUCCAAAAGUGGGAGGAAAAUGGAGAACCACGAUCCAAUAUAAUAGACACUAGAGCACCAUGCAACUUUACAAUCUCUGUAAGAUACAACUUAGAAUAAUCUUUUGUUGAGAAAUUAGUUCUCAUGGGCAAGAAAUAGAUGGACUUGGUCAUUCUAUCAACGAUGGCCUAAAUAGAAUCAUAUUGAUUCCAAUAUCUAGGAAGACUGAUAAUGAAAUCUAUAUUAAUUUCCUCCCACUUCCACUCAGGUAAGACAAUCUCUUGGUACAAACCAUCGGGUCUCAUGUGCUGAACUUUUACUUGUUGACAUACCAUACACUUGGCCACGUAUCUAGACACAUCUCAUUUCAUAUUACUCCACCAAUAAAACUCUCUAAGGUUUUGAUACAUCUUGGUGAACUGGGAUGAAUAGCGUAACGAGCUCCAUGAGCCUUGGCCAUGACCCUUUCUCUCAAUCCAUCGACAUCAGAAACACAUAGCCUACCUUGGUACCUCAAGAAACCAUCACCACCAAUCACAAAGUCCACAACUUUGUGUUGACCCAUAUUACUCUUAAUCUUCAUCAAAUUAGGGUCCAAUACUUACUUCUCCUUUAUCUCAACAACAAGAGAUUAUUGAGAUAUUGAAUGCACAAACACACCACCAUCCUCAGAGUCCACAAGUCAAACUCUAAGAUUUUCCAAAUGGUGAAUAUCUCUCACCAAUUCCCACUUAUCCUCAUCAAAAUAGGCCGCACUUCUCAUGGACAAUCUACUAAGAGCAUCAGACACUAUAUUUUCCUUAUCAGAAUAGUAAUGAAAACUCAUAUCAUAGUCUUUUAAUAGCUCAAGCCACCUUCUUUUCUGGAGAUUCAGUAAACAUAUAUUGGAGGCUUUUAUGGUUGAAAAGAUGUCAACUUGAGCACCAUAAAGAUAAUGCCACCAAAUCUUCAAAGCAAAGACCUCGACUAAUAACUCUAAGUCAUAGGUGGUGUAGUUCUUUUCAUGAACUUUCAAUAGCCUAGAAGCAUAGGAUACCACCCUAACAUGUUGCAUCAACAUGCACCAAGACCGACAUGAGAUGCAUCACAAUACACCACAAAACUAUCACUACCCUCGAGCAAGGUCAAAACCGAAGCCAAAGUUAAUUUAUCUUUCAACUUCUCAAACCUACCCUCACACGCUUCGGACCACAAGAACUUGACCUUCUUUUGGGUCAACUUGGUCAUUGGAGAAGAUAUAGUGGAAAAACUCUCUACAAACCUUCUAUAAUAAUCGGCUAGACCUAAGAAGCUCCAAAUAUUGGUUAGAGUUGUAGGUCUAGGCCACUUCUUAACUGUCGUGGACUUUUAUGGAUCUACCAUAAUCCCUUCACUGGAGAUGACAUGACCAAGAAAAGCUAUGACUUUCAACCAAAAUUCAUACUUGGAGAACUCGGCAUACAAAAUAUAAUCCUUUAAAGUUUGCAACAUGGCACGGAGGUGAUCUACAUGAUCCACCACACUCUUAGAAUACACUAAAAUAUAAUCAAUGAAUAUAAUGACAAACAUGUUCUAGAACAGAUGAAAUACCCUAUUCAUCAAAUAUAUGAAUGUCGUUGGGGCAUUGGUCAACCCAAAGGACAUGACAAGAAACUCAUAGUGACCAUACCGAGUUAUAAAGGUAGUCUUAGGGAUAUAUGCAUUCCUAAUCUUAAGCUGAUAAUAACCUAAUAUAAGAUUAAUUUUAGAGAAACACUUGAUACCCUAAAGUUGAUCAAAUAGAUCAUCGAUCCUAGAAAAAAAUGCUUAUUAUUUAUGGUUACUUUAUUCAACUGGUGAUAAUCAAUACACAUACGAAGGCAGCCAUCUUUAUUGUGCACGAAUAAUAUGGGAGCACCCUAAAGAGACACAGUAGGGCAGAUAAAACCUUUAUUUAAGAGGUCUUUUAAUUGCUCAAUAAGCUCUUUUAACUCUGCCGUAGUCAUUCUAUAAGGAGGGAUGGAAAUUGCCUGACUGUCCAGAAUAAGAUCAAUACCAAAAUCAAUUUCCAUAUGGAGAGGAACACCAGGAAAUACCUCGAGAAACUCAUUAACCACGGGGAUGGAUUCUAAGGAAAGCUCUUCUAAGUUAUAAUCUUUAACUUGGACAAUAUGAUACAAAUACCCCUUUUCAAUCAACUUUCAAGCUUUAAGAUAAGAAAUAAAUUCUUCUUUAGGAACUGAGAACUACAUUCUCAUAUAAUGAUCAGAUGUAAUACCCCACAUUUUUGGGCUAGUCUUUGAACCGUCGUUCCUACGUGUAUAAGCUAAAAUCCAAAUGAUUCUCGUGUGAAUAUAAGUUUUAUGAUCUUUAUCCUCAUGUUUAAUGUGCUUUCGAGGUAAAAAAUGUUCAUAAAAAUCACUUAGAACAAAGUUGAGCUUAGAGCCUUUGAUUCAUCCAAAGUUUGGUAUUCGAUUCUACAAGGGUCUACUUUGAACGUGCAUAAAUUUUUAUAUACAUAGAAUUUUGCAUCUCAAAAUCCACCAAAUUGUAGAUACUUGAAUUAUCUUUAAAAUUAUACCAAUUUUUUCUUAAUUUGAUAUUCAAGAAAAAAGUUAUGGUAUUAUCUGAGUGAUUAAGUAAGCCGACACGAUUGGGAUGCGAUGCAUUGGUCAUAGAUGCGAUUACCGAUGCGAAGUGAUGAAAAUUGCUUUACAAAACUGUUUCACACGUUAUUUCAGUUCCUAAAGGGUAUAGGGGUAUUUGGUCACUUUCUCUCACCUAAAUCCAUCCAUAACACUUAAUUUCAACCCCAAAAGCAUUAAAUACAUCAUAAUUCAUCUCUUUCUCUCCAAGAAAAUCCUAGUCCCUUCAAGAACACCAAGAAUUUCACCAAAUUUUCUCCAAGAAAGUUAAUAAUUCAAGCUUUAGGGCUCAAGAACUUUAAGAAUAAGCUUCAAGAACACUAUUAGGGAUUCAAAGUUCAAGCUUUCACAUUUAAUUUAUCAAAUAAGGAAUGUGGGGUUAUGAACAAGGAUACUCAUUCAUCCUUGUGCCCAAAACUAGUUUUAAAGUUUAAUUUACGCAUAUUGUAAUUAGGGUUCAUCCCCAACUUACUUGGUUUGAGUUUAUGGAUUUGUAAAGUGAUUUAAGUAUUAAAGUGCAUGCUUGUUCUCCUCUAUUUAUGAUUGAUUUAAAUAUUUUCAAUUGAGAUUUAAGCAUGAAAUUAUGUUGCAAGUCACAUGAAAGAAAGCAUGAGAUUCAGAGGCUUUAGUGCAUCAAGAUUUCACAUGUUUAUGAUUUGAUCCUUCGCAUGUUCAUAUUUUGAUCCAUAAGAUUCAUAUUGUGAUUUUGAUUACAUUAUCUUGACUAAAAUUAUUGAAGCAUUUCAAGAAGAUUUUUAAGCAUGAACUUAGUGAUGAUUUGAUAUGAGUUUCAAAGUAUGGGUUUUAAGACCUAAGUUAAGUAUUGAUAUUUUGAGAAGAUUUUAUUUUUAAGAACUUUAUGACUAGCUUAUAUUCAUACUUUAAGAAAGAUUUGAUGUUUUGAUUCUCAUCUUAGAUAUGGGAUCCACAUUUUAAUUUUAUUACAGUUUAUAGAAAGUAGAUUAGUUUUUAUUACAGUUUAAAAUAGACAGAAGCAUAAUUGGUUUUUCAUUACAAACCUUUAUGCUAGCUUUUAAAGUGGAUUCCUACAGAUUAAGUAUACAUAUAUAAAUCAUUUGCUUAGUAGAUUUCUAAUUCAAGGGUUAGCUUGGGAUCACUUGUGGUCCUAAGCACCAUGUGACAUCUCGGCACCUAUUUUCAAGGUGUUACAAACUUGGUAUCAAAGAAUAAGGUUCAAGUGUCCUAGGAUGUCUAUGAAGCCAUGUCUAGUAGAGUCUUGUGGAAUGGUACGAAGACUCUAUACUUUUUUUUGAGAGGCUACAGGGUAUUUAAUAAAAGUAUCCUUUCUUUCAUACUUUAGAUCGUGUUGUAAAGUUCUUCUCUUAGAAACUCCUAUCUAUUCGUGUGUCACUCUAUAAUUCUCUAUCUAUGUUAUAUUUUGAGAUCACGUAAUUAUCAAGUUCUAAUUUAUCCUAAGAUGAUGCUCUCAAAUUUACUAUCAGUAACUUCAGAAGUCAUACAAGAGGCUUAAGAGAAGCUCACUAGUGUGUUAUAAUUUCCUCAAAUCAAAAUUUAUGUCCUUAUCCAUAUGAGUCAUUCAGUUAAGGUAGAAUAAGAUAUGCAUUUAGAUUCCUUAUUAUUCCUUUAAUACAGAUAGUGCUCAUAAGAGAAGAUAGUAUGAACCUAGAUUGUUGAAUAGAGUUUGUAUUUGAGGGAUAUUGCAACCUGGAGUGUUAUGAUUCAUAAGUAGUAGAACCUUCUUAUAGUUGGAAGUAUGGGUAUAGAAGUGUAGUGAUAAUAAAAGUGGGAAUGAUGAUUGAUAGAAAGUAUAAAGAUAAACUUAUACAUGCUAUAGAUUUUGCAUUAUGGUGAUAUGUCCUGGUGUGUUAGUUUAGUGAAAGGUAGAGAAAGAGUUAUAAGUUAAGGUGAAUUAUUGUUUUCUUGAAGUAUGAAAGGAGUUAUUGAUGGUAAUUAUUAUGUUAGAAAAGUAUAUAUUAUUAAUGAAGUAUUUGGUGGUUUAGUAUUGUUAAUUUAGGCUUCCCUUGAGGUUGAAAAAGGAGUUUAGUUGAAAUUUAUAAAACUAUGAAAGAAAUUUUGGUGUAUAGAUGAGUGAAUAGUAGUGAUACAUAGAAGGAAGAUGUGCUAAUGGAUUAUAAUAAGAUAGGUCAUACGCUCAUGAUCAAUUAUUGUUAUUAUGGGGUUCUAGUGGACUAGUGUUUCUUGAUGUCUUAUUUUAUAGCUUCCAAGUGAGAAUAGUAUGUGAGGUUGGGUUUUAAUCAUGCCUAGCCCUAGGCACUAAGUUUGAACAGUGGAUGAUCAUCAAGGUGGAUGUAAUGGUUGCUUGGUUAGUGAUGCUAGUUAUAUGGAGGUGAACCAAUAGUCUUGAAAUAGUGAAUGUAAGAAUUUAAGUUUAUUGAUUUGAGAUUAAGUAUGAUAUUGUAGGUAUGAUAUAGAGGUGUGCCCAAGGUUAUAUGGGGUUGCAUUAUUUUCUAAGGUUAUUAAGUGUCGUGUGUGGUUAGUAGUGUCCUUGAGUUGUUAAGUGGAAGAAGGCUAGUUAUAUAGUACAUGGUGUUCUUAAUGGCUAAGUUAAGGAGUUAUGAUUGAUAAUGUUGAGCCUUUUGAUAUGAUCUUGAUUCUUAUGUUUUAGAAAUAUAAGUUUAGAGGCAUGAUAUUGGUAGGGUAUGAUGGAAGUAGUAUGGUUUAUUAAAGGUUUGGUGAUAUCCAUGUUAAGUGUUUGAAUAUAAGUUUGAGUCUUUGAUGAUUGAGCUAAUAGAAAUAAGAGUUGAAGCACUAGAUGGUGUGCACUCCAUGGGGAUACUCAUGAAGAUUCUAAGUUAGUAAGUUUUCAAGUAUUAGAUGAUGACUAUUGGGGAUAUAGAUAGAUAAAGUUGUAUCUCAAAAGGAAGUAUUAGCAAUGGGUUUUACACUUUCAGGUGUAGUCUUUUGGGUUAAGUUCUAUUAUUUACGUGUAUUGUUAUACCCCAGGCUCCAAAGUUCAGUUAUUAUAGUCCAAUUUAGAUAUUAGUAAAGGGGUUCUUCAGACUUAGAAUAAUGGCUUAAAGCUAAGGGGGAGAUGAUAGGAUAACUAACCAAGUCAGAUUCUUAGAUUCUAGUAGUGCUGCCAGUGUUGGAGAAAAAUACCCAGCUUAUUCUUAUUUCAGUAUUAGUACUUCAGUUAUUACGAUGUCUACUCAUGCCUUAUGUGGCAUCUCCAUGAUCAUAGUUCUGUUCAUGCAUAUCAUAGAAAACCUUGUACUCUCCUAGUCCCAAGUAUGAGGAGUUCCAGUUCAUUCAGCAGUACGAAUCAAUGUUCCAAGAAUUUAUGAACUCCAAACUCAGAUCAUGCAGCUCAUGAAUCAUGUACUCAUGCUUUAUAGUAUUCUCAGUUCCCAUAACUCAUGUUGUACUCUUAAUGAUCAGCGAGAUUUAGUUUAUAGCCAUGUAUUCCCUCAAUUUAGAUCUCUUUGAUGAAUCCAUGAUGUUGAUCCUCUAUUCCUCAGGCCUCAAUUAAGUGUCAAGUUACGUGUAGUAUCCUUCUAUGUUUCAAGGUCUGAUUUUUUAACCUUUCAGUGACCCCUCCUUAUGUGAUGAUAGUGGUGAUGAGUAAAUGUUUCUUGUUGAUGAAAGAUCAUUAUAUGUUUGUUUUAGCUAAGGCCAUAAGUGUGAAGUAAAAUUGAGGCUAAGUCCUUGAUACAUGUUGUGGUUAGUUGAAAUUUGUGUGUGUAUGUUCUUGGGGUAGUGCGUGGGAGAUUUUGUGAUAGAGGUUUAGAGAAUAUAAGGAGUAUGCUAUUAUAGGUGUUUAGACGUUCAUAUAUGGUUAUAACAAUAGGCUUGAACAUCAUAUUUGUGCAUAAGUCGAUGAAUGUAGUAUGCAUUAGUUUUCGACCUUGGAAUGUAAAUCUUUAAGUGAAUUCAUGAUCGGGGUGGUCGAUAGCACAUCUCGUGUAAGUAUUAGAUUUUUUGAGUGAGGUUUGAGACCUAUUUGGAUGGUAAAAAUAGUAAGGCUACGCAAUAUGGCUGAGGUGUAUCACAUAUCAGAUUAGUAGGGAGCAAUGCAAUGCAUCGCAUAUCUCGUUGGUAGAGCGACGCAACGCAUCACUUAUCUCAUCAGUAGUCCAGUUCAUUUAUAGUGUUAUAUGUUGUAACUUGUGAUUUUGAGUUAGGCUUGAUCAUGGUGAGAAGACUUAGUUCAGUUUAGACAUUAGUAGAUGGAUUUAUGAACAACCAUGUGAGAAUUAAAGUUGAAUCAAUGAAUAUGGUAUUUAAGGGGAAUAGUAUAGUUGAGAGAGUAUUUGAGAAGUGUUGCUUAGCUUGAAAGUAAGAAGCUGCAUUCCCUAAGGCCUAGUAAUUCUAUCUUAGCUUACGAUUUAUAUGCCUAUGUUCCAAGCUAUAGAGUUGUAUCAAUUUUAUGAUUCCCUAGUCAGAUGACUUGUUCAAACCAUUCCCAAGAUUCUUCGCUCCCUAAUAUUAUUAGAAUUUUGUAGAAGAGUGUUGAAGAAAUACUCUAUUUGAGUAUGGGAAUUCAGUAUGAUCCAGUCCAUAUAGCCUGCAAUCCUGUUUAGCAAUUAAUCAGAUAAGCUACUAUAGAUUUCCAACUUUUCAUCUAGUCUUACUAUCCGAAGUUUCAUGAAUAUGGCCAUUUCAAUAGGUAGUUUGUUCGCAUCCAUGUAAUUUGUUAAUUCAGCUCACUUCAUGCAUCAUACAUCAAUUUCAAAUUCUAGAUAUUCAGUCAUGAUUCAGACCGUAAGUGUCCCAUGCAUUAUCUCUGUCUUUCCUUAGUAUUUCAGCCAAGUCAGUAUCAUUCGGGGAAGAAAAUAUCCCAAAGGGGAGAUGUAUUGUAAUACCUUGAGCAUUCAUGUCAUAAACCUUUCAUAUUUUCUUCAAGAAACUAGAUCCAGCCUAAGGUAAUGGUUACUAACAAGUCGACUCUCUCGUUCCUAUCUCAGCCUUAUAACCAUUCUCAUGUCAUUGCCUGUAGUCAAGAAAUCAGUUCAGUUCAUGAUAUCCAGUUCAUGUAUCAUAUUUAAGGAUUAGUUAUGCAAUCAUGUUUUCAGUCAUGCAUGUUCAGAAUAUAAUCACAGUUGCCAUAGUAACCUCAGUCUAAUCAGGUUCAUUCAAGGACGAAUCUUCCCAAGGGGGAGAUAAUAUAAUACCCCAUAUUUUCAUGCUAGUCUUUGAACUAUCAUUCCUAUGUGUAUAAGCUAAAAUACAAAUUAUUCCUAUGUGAAUAUAAGUUUCAUGAUCUUUAUUCUCGUGUUUGAUGUGCUUUCGAGGUGAAAAAUGUUCAUAAGAAUCACUUAGAACAAAGUUUAGCUUAGAGCCACUGAUUCAUCCAAAGUUUCGUAUUCGAUUAUACAAGGGUGUAUUUUGAACGUGUAUAACUUUUUAUAUACGUAGAAUUUUUCCACUCAAGACCCACCAAAUUGUAGAUAAUGGAAUUAUCUUUCCAACUAUACCAAUUUUGCCUUAAUCCAACACCCGAUCAAAAAGUUAUCUCAUUUUCUGCGUGAGGCAGUAAGCCGAUGCGAUUAGGACGCAAUGCGUCGGUCAUCGACGCGAUUAGUGAAGCGAUGCGAUGGCAAUCGCAUUACAGAACUGUUUCACAUGCUAUUUCUAUUUCUAAAGGGUCUAGGGGCACUUUGGUCACUUCCCCUCACCCAAAUCCAUCCAUUACACUUAGUUUAAACCCCAAAAGCAUUAAAUACAUCAUAAUUCAUCUCUUUCUCCCCAAGAAAACCGUAGCUCCUUCAAGAACACCAAGAACUCCACCAAAUUUUCUCUAACAAAGUUAAUAAUCCAAGCUUUUGGGUUAAAGAACUUCAAUAAUAAGCUUCAAGAACACUAUUAGAGAUUCAAAGUUCAAGCUUUCACAUUUAAUUUAUCAAAUAAGGUAUGUGGGGUUAUGAACAAAAAUAUUAUUUCAUCCUUGUGCCCAAAAGUAGUUUUAAAGUUGAAUUUACAUAUAUUACAACUAGGGUUCAUACCCAACUUAUCUUUUUUUGAGUUUAUCGAUUUGUAAAGUAAUUUAAGUGUUAAAGUUCAUGCUUGUUCUCCUCUAUUUAUGCUUGAUUUAAUGAUUUUCAAUUGAGAUUUAAGCAUGAUAUUAUGUUGCAAGUUAUAUGGAAGAAAACAUGAGAUUCAAAGACUUUAGUGUACCAAGAUUUCGCAUGCUCAUAUUUUAUCCAUAAGAUUCAUAUUGUGAUUUUGAUUUAAUUAUCUUAACUGAAAUUAUUGAAGUAUUUCAAGAAGAUUAUUGAGCACGAACUUUGUGAUGAUUUGCUAUGAGUUUCAAAGCAUGGGUUUUAAGCCCUAAGUUAAGUAUUGAUAUUUUGAGAAGAUUUUGCUUCUAAGCACCCUAUGACUAGCUUAUAUUCAUACUUUGAGAAAGAUUUGAUCUUUUGAUUCUCAGCUUAGAUAUGGAAUCCACAUUUUAAUUUUUAUUACAGUUUAAAACAAAUAGAUUAGUUUUGAUUAUAGUUUAAAACAGAUAAAUGCAUAAUUGGUUUUUCAUUACAAACUGUUAUGCUAGCUUUUAAAGUGGAUUCCUAUAGAUUGAGCAUACAGAUUAAAAGGAGUAGUAUUUAGCACCAAGCGGGAAGUGUGGGUUUAGCACCAAGCAGGAAGUGUGGGUUUAGCGCAUCCUACUUUCCCAGAACUACAAGCCAACAUAGGUACAGAUUUAGAUUAUUCCCAUUUAUAUGGAUGAUAGGUACAAAUUGUGAUCACUUAGCUCAGGUUAUACUCCUUGGCAAGAUAAUGACACCUCUCUCCAACGUAAGGUUUUCCCCUUAGGGGAACUAAAUAUUGGACACUAUGAUAGCUCACAUAGUGUAUGUCGGUUGGAAGAACCUCCCUAAAGCCUAAGUCCUAAAACAGAAUAACAAAACAGCUUUUAGAAACUAAGUGUAAUAGCACACGAUUUUAUGCAGAUAUUGGUUUACAUAAGUUAUUAUCUAUGAGAUUUUAGCUUUUAGUUUACAGAUACAAAGGUGGGUCCUUUUUCACUUAGACUGCAUGAUUUAAAACAGACCUAACUUCAAUUCUACUUAGUCCAUUAGCAGAAAGUGUAAAAGUACGGCUUAUAGAACCAAGUGUUAUAGCUCACAAGGUUUAUAUAGUAUAUUUUAUCAUUCAUGAUUCUUGAUUUUCAGUUUUCAGUUAAUCCAGCCAAUGUGAGUCAUUUAUACUUAGCAUGUAUUAUUUUACAAGUUUAUAGGAACAUUGAGAUAUUGUUUUACCUAUGCAUUCACCCUUAUAUGCUCAGUACAUUCAAAAAGUGCUGAUCCACAUAUACGUCUAUGUGAUACAUUAUUUUAUAAUGUAGGUACCAGUUCAGUCAUAGUCCAAUAUCAUGAUCAGAUAGUUGCAGAUUCCAGCCAGCAUAUGAUGAGUCCUACUUCGGGGAUUUCAGUUUGAUGUCACUUAUGUACUUUAAUUUCUUACUUAUAUGUAUUUCUUAGUGGUAGUUGGAGUCGCAUCCUAGCUAUCUAUAGUGAGUAUAGUAGAGGCUUCAUAGAUGUCAGUCAGAGUCAGUCAUGUAAUGUCAGUUCUACUUUUCAGUUUCAUCAGAAUGUAAAAUUGUAUCAGCAUUGUUUUUUCUUUCUUCUUGAUUUUAUCAUGAUUAUAUUUCC